AUUAAUUGUAAUGUUUAAAUUAUUUAUAAUCUCUAAUCAAUUUUUCUUUUGAAAAAAUAGGUGAUAGUGGUUAUCCGUGCCGAACUUGGCUGUUGACACCUGUCCCAAUGCCACAUACCAGAGGAGAAAUUAAAUUUAAUGAAUCCCACCGUAGCACAAGAAGUGCUAUCGAAAGAACUUUUGGGGUUUUAAAAAUGCGUUUCAGAGUUUUGGAUAGGUCUGGAGGAGCACUUCAAUAUUCGCCUGAAAAAUGUAAUGAUAUAAUUCUAGUUGCAUGCAUGUUGCACAACAUUGCAAUUUCCCAAGGCAAUUUAGAGGAGGAGUGUCCCAAUGAUCCCACAGAUGACACUUAUAUCCCUCAAGAAAUUAUAGGCAGACACACUACAAGGGCAGGUGUACAAAAUAGAUUGGAAAUUAUUGAAAGAUAUUUUUCAUAAUACAUGUCAUCACCCCGAGUUUUAAUUAUUUUAUAAGAAAUGUACACAAUUCUUUGAUAUUGAAGUUAACUCCACCCAUUUGAAAAAAUAAAACUUUUGCUUAUUUAUCAAAAA